UACGGAGGGUGCGAGCGUUAAUCGGAAUUACUGGGCGUAAAGCGUGCGCAGGCGGUUUUGUAAGUCUGUCGUGAAAUCCCCGGGCUCAACCUGGGAAUUGCGAUGGAGACUGCAAGGCUAGAAUCUGGCAGAGGGGGUAGAAUUCCACGUGUGAGCAGUGAAAUGCGUAGAGAUGUGGAGGAACACCGAUGGCGAAGGCAGCCCCCUGGGUCAAGAUUGACGCUCAUGCACGAAAGCGUGGGGAGCAACAGG
rnacentral:rRNA from 1 species